GGAAGAUGUAACGGGGCUAAAUCUAGUACCGAAGCUGCGGAUCUCGUAAGAGAUGGUAGAGGAGCGUUCUGUAAGUCUGUGAAGGUGAAUCGUAAGGUUUGCUGGAGAUAUCAGAAGUGCGAAUGCUGACAUGAGUAACGAUAAAGGGGGUGAAAAACCCCCUCGCCAGAAGUCCAAGGUUUCCUACGCAACGUUAAUCGGCGUAGGGUUAGUCGGCCCCUAAGGCGAGGGCGAAAGCCGUAGUCGAUGGGAAACAGGUUAAUAUUCCUGUACCGAUUACAAGUGCGAUGUGGGGACGGAGAAGGUUAGCUCAGCCAACUGUUGGAUAUGUUGGUUCAAGCCUGUAGUCAUGCCUGGUAGGCAAAUCCGCCGGGCUAAGAUGAGGGGUGAUAACGAGUGUGCUUGCACACGAAGUGAGUGAUACCCUGCUUCCAGGAAAAGCCACUAAGCUUCAGCUUGUAACGACCGUACCGCAAACCGACACUGGUGCGCGAGAUGAGUAUUCUAAGGCGCUUGAGAGAACUCUGGAGAAGGAACUCGGCAAAUUGACACCGUAACUUCGGGAGAAGGUGUGCCCUCAGUAGGUGAACCUGUACAAGGGGAGCCCAAAGGGGUUGCAAAGAAUAGGUGGCUGCGACUGUUUAUUAAAAACACAGCACUCUGCAAACACGAAAGUGGACGUAUAGGGUGUGACGCCUGCCCGGUGC
rnacentral:rRNA from 1 species